rnacentral:lncRNA from 1 species
UAUGGGGGACUUUUGGGAUAGCAUUGUAAAUGUAAAUGAGGAAAAUACCUAAUUAAAAAAGAAAGAAAGGAAAGAAUAUAUAUUUUUUUUUCAGUGCCUAUGAAUGGCAUGUGUGCAUGUAUGUAUACCACAUGCAUGCCUGGUACCCUUACUGGCCAGAGAGUUAGAUCAUUGGAUCCUCUGAAACUUGAGUUACAGGCAGUUCUGAGUGCCAUGUGGCUUAUUGGAACCAAACCCAGUUUUUCUACAGGAGUAGCCAAUGUGCUUAACCUCAGGACCAUCUCUCUAGCCUUAGGUAUAUGUCUAGGGGCUACUACUGAGUUGUAGAGAAGGAGUAACUCUGAAUGUUCUUUGGCUUCAGUUAUGAAUGUGGCUUGUAUCUAGUUUUUUAUGUUUAGAAGAUACCUGAGCACCUGCCAUGUAACAUAGGAAGAAACAGCGUUUGCUCAUGUAAAACUCACCCUGACACUGUCAUAUCCACACAUCCUAACGUAGCUGUCCUUCACUGUGCAGAUCACGUGUUUUCUAAGUAAUGGUGUUUAUGCAACUCAGUUUUAUAUAAUGAUGGUUUCCCUUUCAUUUCUUUUACUUUCCUUGAAUUUCCUACAGAAGCCCUGGAGGGGAUUUGGGAGCAAAAAAGAAAAAGAAGAAACAAAAGAGAAAAAAGGAGAAGCCAAAUUCUGGGGGUACCAAGUCCGACUCUGCAUCUGACUCCCAGGAGAUUAAGAUUCAGCAGUCUUCUAAAGUGAGAGCCUGUUUCCUUGCCACAGCUGUUUCUCCCCAAUGAAGAAGAGAUGGGGUCUGGGUGGGGUAGAUGUGUAGCUAGUGUUUUCUUUGACUGUGUGUUGAAUGACAGGACUAACUGGAGGGUGUUUACAGCCUCCCUGAAGUUGUGGCAUCCACAUAACCAAGAGGUGCAUACUCUGUGUGUGUGUGUGUGUGUGUGUGUGUGUGUGUGUGUGUGUGUGUGUGUGUGUAGCAUCUCAUUUCUCCUUCUCUUUGUAGUAGUAUGUAGAUCGUAGUCAUAAAAGUCUCUGGGAGCCUGGUAGUAGAAAGUUUGUUUUUUUGUUGUUGUUGUUUAGUUUUUGCUUUUGUUUUUGUUGCUUUGAAGUUACACUUAAUCUGUGAUUACUUUUGGUUCAGAAGAUAUUCACAUUUUAAUUUUUCUGGGUGUCUGUCUAAUUACCUGCAUAGCACAACGCCAUCUGGCAGCAGAUUUCAGCAGGAGCAGCCAUGGGUAAGUCUUCUGUUGACUUUGAAUCGGCCUGGUCUGCAGUGGUCAUCCAUCAUGCCAUUGCAAGGGUGGGGAACACCUUCUCAUGUUCUUCUCCCUUAGGAUAUACCUAUUUUAAUCCAAACUAGUUGUCCUUCUGGUCCUAUGUUGGCAGAUAGCCUGCUGAACAGAAGGCUAGUAGUGCUGUAUGUGGGUCUGGUGAUGCUGUUGGCAGUCACCCCCAUUUGUGGAGAUUCCUUCUUCCUACCACACAGGACAACACAGGCUUGGUAGUUCAGGAAACCAGAGCCAAAGGAGCUGAGUUAGAAACAUAACAAGAAAGAUGGCUUUGAUGGUUAUAGCUUCAAGAACAUCGUUCUGGUCAGGGUAGCCCUGGGACCUGGCACUUGGCCCAGGCUCCAUUACUCAUCUCCAGACUGCAUCUCUUUGAGCUGAUCCUUAUCCUGGAAAGCCCAUUUCCUUCCCCAAGUCUAUAAGGCUGUAAUGAAGUUAAAAUGAGAUUGCUCUUAUGAAGAUUGCUUCGUACAGUGCACUCCACAGAAGGCAGUACCUGCAAAUUUUGUGGAUUUCAGAUUUUUUCAUAUGAAGUUUUUAUUAUGUCAUAUAAGUCAGUCUGUGGGUAGUUUUGUCAUUGGUGGUACCUGCUUUAUAUGAAACAACCAGCGUCUCUGAGAAGGAUAAUUACUCGCCUCAGUGACUGAGGGAGAGAACAAAGUCGAUGGAGCCUUCCUCCCCAGCUUCCCUCUGGGUCUCACGUGAUCAGUGUUCCACUAAACAUAACUUCCAAGAUAAAUUGGGAAAUCGCCAUCAGCUUGCAAAUAUUUUUCUCAUUUCUUGGUGUUGCUUCAGCAGAUAAACGCAUCACUUACCUGCAGUGUGGGUGGCUCUUUGCUUCUACCAUGCCAUUGGCUUUACCCAUCCCUUUACCCUCAGGGAUUCUAAGCACUUCCUUUCCACUCUGGUCACUGAAGAAACUGCAGCCAAUUGAGUGGGAGGAACUACUGUUAGCAUAUAUGGUAGAGAGGGAGUUUUCUUUGGUUGGUUUUGUUUUGUUAAUUAGAAGCUAGCCAACAGUGUUUUAGUGGGGGCUUUUGUCCAUUGUAUUUUCUUUUUAAACUGGGGCACCCUCCUCCCAUAAAUUUAUGGCAGUAGUAGUAGAUAAUGUCAUACUAUUACAGUGGACUACACUUAGAAAAUAAUUGGUCUGUAGUCAAAGAUUAAAAUUAAAAUAUUUGUCUGGAUUCUUAACAUUGGUAUACGUGGUACUGGGUAUUGAACCCAGAGCUUUAUGCAUGCCAGGCAAGCACUUUACCUGCCUGACCCAUACAUAGCCCCAACCCUUUCUUACAGACUUUUUAGUAGCAGAAGACUUGGACAAAUUUUUCCUAAGGUCUUCAGUUUAGAAAGUAAUGGGCACAGGAUGUAGUUGGUAUUUAGUAUUCUUUAGGAAGCAGCUUUACCAAGAAGGAAUUCCUGCUGCUUCGGUAAGAACGUAGUAGUGGGCAGUUAACUGGGGGCUAAUGCACAUUCUCGCCUUUCUCCCCAGGUGGUGAUACUAUGGAAGGUGAAUGGAUAGAUUUAAGAAUGUAUCAUAAGGUGAGCGUGGUGGCGCCCGCCUAUAAUCCCAGCACCCAGGAGGCGUAGGCAGGAUGAUUGUGAGUUCGAGGCCAGCCAGAGCUACAUAGGGAGACCUUGUCUCAAAAAAGAAAAAUAAAAUUAAUCCUCUGGCCCAGUGGUUGAGCAUAAUGUGCAAGGUUUGCAUUUAAUCUCCAGCACCUCAGAAAUAAUCAGAGGUUCC